CCUACGGGGGGCAGCAGUAGGGAAUAUUGCUCAAUGGGGGAAACCCUGAAGCAGCAACGCCGCGUGGAGGAUGAAGGUUUUCGGAUUGUAAACUCCUUUUGUUAGAGAAGAUAAUGACGGUAUCUAACGAAUAAGCACCGGCUAACUCCGUGCCAGCAGCCGCGGUAAUACGGAGGGUGCCAGCGUUACUCGGAAUCACUGGGCGUAAAGGGCGCGUAGGCGGGAUAGCAAGUCAGAUGUGAAAUCCUAUGGCUUAACCAUAGAACUGCAUUUGAAACUGUUAUUCUAGAGUAUGGGAGAGGUAGGUGGAAUUCGUGGUGUAGGGGUAAAAUGCGUAGAGAUCAAGAAGAAUAGUCAUUGCGAAGGCAGCCUGCUAGACCAUAACUGACGCUGAUGCGCGAAAGCGUGGGGAGCAAACAGGAUUAGAUACCCGAGUAGUC
rnacentral:rRNA from 1 species